rnacentral:rRNA from 1 species
GGGUUGUGAGGUUAAGCGACUAAGCGUACACGGUGGAUGCCCUGGCAGUCAGAGGCGAUGAAGGACGUGCUAAUCUGCGAUAAGCGUCGGUAAGGUGAUAUGAACCGUUAUAACCGGCGAUUUCCGAAUGGGGAAACCCAGUGUGAUUCGUCACACUAUCAUUAACUGAAUCCAUAGGUUAAUGAGGCGAACCGGGGGAACUGAAACAUCUAAGUACCCCGAGGAAAAGAAAUCAACCGAGAUUCCCCCAGUAGCGGCGAGCGAACGGGGAGGAGCCCAGAGCCUGAAUCAGUGUGUGUGUUAGUGGAAGCGUCUGGAAAGGCGCGCGAUACAGGGUGACAGCCCCGUACACAAAAAUGCACAUGCUGUGAGCUCGAUGAGUAGGGCGGGACACGUGGUAUCCUGUCUGAAUAUGGGGGGACCAUCCUCCAAGGCUAAAUACUCCUGACUGACCGAUAGUGAACCAGUACCGUGAGGGAAAGGCGAAAAGAACCCCGGCGAGGGGAGUGAAAAAGAACCUGAAACCGUGUACGUACAAGCAGUGGGAGCACGCUUAGGCGUGUGACUGCGUACCUUUUGUAUAAUGGGUCAGCGACUUAUAUUCUGUAGCAAGGUUAACCGAAUAGGGGAGCCGAAGGGAAACCGAGUCUUAACUGGGCGUUAAGUUGCAGGGUAUAGACCCGAAACCCGGUGAUCUAGCCAUGGGCAGGUUGAAGGUUGGGUAACACUAACUGGAGGACCGAACCGACUAAUGUUGAAAAAUUAGCGGAUGACUUGUGGCUGGGGGUGAAAGGCCAAUCAAACCGGGAGAUAGCUGGUUCUCCCCGAAAGCUAUUUAGGUAGCGCCUCGUGAAUUCAUCUCCGGGGGUAGAGCACUGUUUCGGCAAGGGGGUCAUCCCGACUUACCAACCCGAUGCAAACUGCGAAUACCGGAGAAUGUUAUCACGGGAGACACACGGCGGGUGCUAACGUCCGUCGUGAAGAGGGAAACAACCCAGACCGCCAGCUAAGGUCCCAAAGUCAUGGUUAAGUGGGAAACGAUGUGGGAAGGCCCAGACAGCCAGGAUGUUGGCUUAGAAGCAGCCAUCAUUUAAAGAAAGCGUAAUAGCUCACUGGUCGAGUCGGCCUGCGCGGAAGAUGUAACGGGGCUAAACCAUGCACCGAAGCUGCGGCAGCGACGCUUAUGCGUUGUUGGGUAGGGGAGCGUUCUGUAAGCCUGUGAAGGUGUACUGUGAGGUAUGCUGGAGGUAUCAGAAGUGCGAAUGCUGACAUAAGUAACGAUAAAGCGGGUGAAAAGCCCGCUCGCCGGAAGACCAAGGGUUCCUGUCCAACGUUAAUCGGGGCAGGGUGAGUCGACCCCUAAGGCGAGGCCGAAAGGCGUAGUCGAUGGGAAACAGGUUAAUAUUCCUGUACUUGGUGUUACUGCGAAGGGGGGACGGAGAAGGCUAUGUUGGCCGGGCGACGGUUGUCCCGGUUUAAGCGUGUAGGCUGGUUUUCCAGGCAAAUCCGGAAAAUCAAGGCUGAGGCGUGAUGACGAGGCACUACGGUGCUGAAGCAACAAAUGCCCUGCUUCCAGGAAAAGCCUCUAAGCAUCAGGUAACAUCAAAUCGUACCCCAAACCGACACAGGUGGUCAGGUAGAGAAUACCAAGGCGCUUGAGAGAACUCGGGUGAAGGAACUAGGCAAAAUGGUGCCGUAACUUCGGGAGAAGGCACGCUGAUAUGUAGGUGAAGUCCCUCGCGGAUGGAGCUGAAAUCAGUCGAAGAUACCAGCUGGCUGCAACUGUUUAUUAAAAACACAGCACUGUGCAAACACGAAAGUGGACGUAUACGGUGUGACGCCUGCCCGGUGCCGGAAGGUUAAUUGAUGGGGUCAGCGCAAGCGAAGCUCUUGAUCGAAGCCCCGGUAAACGGCGGCCGUAACUAUAACGGUCCUAAGGUAGCGAAAUUCCUUGUCGGGUAAGUUCCGACCUGCACGAAUGGCGUAAUGAUGGCCAGGCUGUCUCCACCCGAGACUCAGUGAAAUUGAACUCGCUGUGAAGAUGCAGUGUACCCGCGGCAAGACGGAAAGACCCCGUGAACCUUUACUAUAGCUUGACACUGAACAUUGAGCCUUGAUGUGUAGGAUAGGUGGGAGGCUUUGAAGUGUGGACGCCAGUCUGCAUGGAGCCGACCUUGAAAUACCACCCUUUAAUGUUUGAUGUUCUAACGUUGACCCGUAAUCCGGGUUGCGGACAGUGUCUGGUGGGUAGUUUGACUGGGGCGGUCUCCUCCUAAAGAGUAACGGAGGAGCACGAAGGUUGGCUAAUCCUGGUCGGACAUCAGGAGGUUAGUGCAAUGGCAUAAGCCAGCUUGACUGCGAGCGUGACGGCGCGAGCAGGUGCGAAAGCAGGUCAUAGUGAUCCGGUGGUUCUGAAUGGAAGGGCCAUCGCUCAACGGAUAAAAGGUACUCCGGGGAUAACAGGCUGAUACCGCCCAAGAGUUCAUAUCGACGGCGGUGUUUGGCACCUCGAUGUCGGCUCAUCACAUCCUGGGGCUGAAGUAGGUCCCAAGGGUAUGGCUGUUCGCCAUUUAAAGUGGUACGCGAGCUGGGUUUAGAACGUCGUGAGACAGUUCGGUCCCUAUCUGCCGUGGGCGCUGGAGAACUGAGGGGGGCUGCUCCUAGUACGAGAGGACCGGAGUGGACGCAUCACUGGUGUUCGGGUUGUCAUGCCAAUGGCACUGCCCGGUAGCUAAAUGCGGAAGAGAUAAGUGCUGAAAGCAUCUAAGCACGAAACUUGCCCCGAGAUGAGUUCUCCCUGACUCCUUGAGAGUCCUGAAGGAACGUUGAAGACGACGACGUUGAUAGGCCGGGUGUGUAAGCGCAGCGAUGCGUUGAGCUAACCGGUACUAAUGAACCGUGAGGCUUAACCUUACAACGCCGAAGCUGUU